GUUGAGUUGCUAGGGCUUCACUGAAUUGCUUAGGCUGGCUUUGAACUAGCAAUCUUCCUACCUCCGUCUCCCAAACCACUGGGAUUACAGGCAUGUGCCUCUGCACCUGGCUGAUAAGAUAUCUCUUAAGAGACGAAAUAUGCAAGCUUGAUUAAAGAACAUGUGGAAAAUCUGAGCAAAUCAGAUUUGAGGGAUCCCUCAACUCAGUCAUGAGAUAUCACAGAAGGUUUUCUCGAGAGAGUGACUUCUAAGUGGACACAUAACUACGCUAGCCAGGAAUGGUUUUGGGAUGUGAUAGCAAGGAAAAUAUCUCAGGAAGAAGAAACAGGGGGUCUGGAGGCUCAAAUGUUAGAAGCAGGCUAACUUGAGAAGCAAUGCUUCUCAAACUUCACCAGGCACAAGAAUCCCCUUGAGAUCUUGUUAAGACACAGGUUCUGUCCCAGAGACUCUGCAUUUCUAACAAGCUUCCUGAUGCUGCUGGCCUGUGGAUGUCAUGUUACACACCAGCAUAGAGCACGAAGAAGGAGACAGUGAUAAAGUUGUGGGCCUGAUCUGAAUCACACAGGGCUUUUUCGAUCAUGUUGAGGGCUUUGAACUUUUAUUUUAAGGUCAUUUAGUAGGGCCAAGACAUGAUCAGCUCUGUGCUAUUGGUAGAGAGGAGAAUGAAUUCAAAUGAGCAAAUCCAGAAGCAGGUUAGUUGAAAGCUGAGAUCCCACAUGGACUGCUGAUGGGGGUCUGGACCAGGAAAGUGGUGUUCCUAGAGAUGAGAUGGAAUGGAUAGACUCAAGCAGCAUUUAGGUGCUGCAUUGAUAGGACCUGAUCAUGAUGAACUUGGUAUGGGUGCCAAAAGGACAGAAGGUGUCAGGAAUGAGGUCUUGACAACCUGGGGACCCAGCAUGGACAAUGUCGGGGAGGGUCACAUACUA
rnacentral:lncRNA from 1 species